CUUGGGAAAAGGGGUACGAAGGUAUGACCGAGUGAAAGAUCCUUGUUUGGUUUUUGUAAUUGAGUGACAACUUAGGUGGACUAAUGAUGUUUAUGUGAGAUACACAGGAGAUUAGUCCAUAGGUGAAUAUGUGAUGAUGGAAGAGCUCAUUGUAUAUGAGACAUGACAUGGGGUCAUGUGACUAAGGUGGAGAAGAUCAAGAUGAGGCUUGGCUCGAUGGACCGGUUGCAAGAGUGAAGGGAAAGUCGAAGGCUUUGAAGCGAGGGACCGCAUGUGACGCUGAAGCUUGAGCAACGCUUAGCGCCGAUGGACCGACACAACAUUGAAGAGCAAGUGAGGUCAAGAUCGAUGAACCAAUAUGGUCACGUGAUGAUAUGAAGUGGAUCAUAUCAUUUGUAAUUGAUUGGUGCAUGUGUUGCAUCAACAUCGAAGGAAAUGGGAUGGAAUGUGCAAGGCAAAGGUAUAACCUAUAGGGCAUUUCAUUUCACCGGUCUAAGUUGAGUAGAGAAGUGUUUGACCGGAUUUAGGAUAGAUAACCGUUAUACAUGGGGUGGUUCGGUUCGACCCACAGUUUCAUCGACCCGACCUCAAAAAAUGACCCAAAUGGACCCCAUUUCUCAUCCAUAGCGUCAGAUAGAGUCAAUGGCUCGGAAGCAUUCGAACCCUUGGGUCGAGUGGUUCGACCCACUCUGCACAGUUCCGUACGUGCAACGCCGGCAUCCUUUGAACUUACACAAGAGAAGAACGAGAGAAUAGACAGCACGACAAGAAGAGAAAAACAAGUGCACAGGGGGGUCGAACUGCUUCUUGCCAGAGCCAGGGCCUAG
rnacentral:lncRNA from 1 species